AUUGAACGCUGGCGGCAUGCCUUACACAUGCAAGUCGAACGGCAGCGGGGACUUCGGUCCGCCGGCGAGUGGCGAACGGGUGAGUAAAGUAUCGGAACGUACCUUUCAGUGGGGGAUAACGUAGCGAAAGUUACGCUAAUACCGCAUAUUCUGUGAGCAGGAAAGCAGGGGAUCGCAAGACCUUGCGCUGAUUGAGCGGCCGAUAUCAGAUUAGCUAGUUGGUGAGGUAAAGGCUCACCAAGGCGACGAUCUGUAGCGGGUCUGAGAGGAUGAUCCGCCACACUGGAACUGAGACACGGUCCAGACUCCUACGGGAGGCAGCAGUGGGGAAUUUUGGACAAUGGGGGCAACCCUGAUCCAGCCAUGCCGCGUGAGUGAAGAAGGCCUCGGUUGUAAGACUCUUCGGUCCGGGACGGAAAGUACGCAUGGCGUAA
rnacentral:rRNA from 1 species